ACCUCGUCGACAACGCCAUGAGCAAAAAGCCGCAGGUUGUGCAGAUCGAUCCGGGCGACAAGUCGUUCAAGACGACGGGCUGCCAGCCGUGGCAGCUGACCCCCGACGCCACCGUGCCCCCCGAAGCGCCGCCCGCGGGUGUGCAAGGCACUCUCGGCAUCCUCAACGGGCUGCUCGGCGGCCAGAACGGCCAGCA
rnacentral:ncRNA from 1 species